rnacentral:rRNA from 1 species
GAUGAACGCUGGCGGCGUGCCUAAUACAUGCAAGUCGAGCGAAGCGGGGACGGGUGAGUAACACGUGGAUAACCUCCUCUAAGACUGGGAUAACUUCGGGAAACCGGAGCUAAACCGGAUACUUAUCGAUGGUUCCGCGCUGCAUUGGCUAGUUGGUAAGGUAACGGCUUACAAAGGCAACGAUGCAUAGCCGACCUGAGAGGGUGAGGAUCCACACUGGAACUGAGACACGGCCCAGACUCCGACCUUGAACAACAGUAAAUAAUCUGCCGCAAUGGGCUAAAGCCUGACCGAGCAACGCCGCGUGAGUGAUGAAGGUCUUCGGAUAGUAAAACUCUGUUAUUAGUGAAGCGGUACCUAAUCAGAAAGCCACGGCUAACUACGUGCCAGCAGCCGCGGUAAUGC